UGGGGAAUAUUGGACAAUGGGCGAAAGCCUGAUCCAGCCAUGCCGCGUGUGUGAAGAAGGUCUUCGGAUUGUAAAGCACUUUAAGUUGGGAGGAAGGGCAGUAAGUUAAUACCUUGCUGUUUUGACGUUACCAACAGAAUAAGCACCGGCUAACUUCGUGCCAGCAGCCGCGGUAAUACGAAGGGUGCAAGCGUUAAUCGGAAUUACUGGGCGUAAAGCGCGCGUAGGUGGUUCAGCAAGUUGGAUGUGAAAUCCCCGGGCUCAACCUGGGAACUGCAUCCAAAACUACUGAGCUAGAGUACGGUAGAGGUGGUGGAAUUUCCUGUGUAGCGGUGAAAUGCGUAGAUAUAGGAAGGAACACCAGUGGCGAAGGCGACCACCUGGACUGAUACUGACACUGAGGUGCGAAAAGCGUGGGGAGCAAACAGGAUUAGAUACCCUGGUAGUCCACGCCGUAAACGAUGUCGACUAGCCGUUGGGAUCCUUGAGAUCUUAGUGGCGCAGCUAACGCGAUAAGUCGACCGCCUGGGGAGUACGGCCGCAAGGUUAAAACUCAAAUGAAUUGACGGGGGUCAUAGCUGUUUCCUG
rnacentral:rRNA from 1 species